UACGAAGGGGGCUAGCGUUGUUCGGAAUCACUGGGCGUAAAGGGCGCGUAGGCGGCUGUUCAAGUCGGGGGUGAAAUCCCGUGGCUCAACCACGGAAUGGCCUUCGAUACUGGACGGCUAGAGACCGGAAGAGGUGAGUGGAACUGCGAGUGUAGAGGUGAAAUUCGUAGAUAUUCGCAAGAACACCAGUGGCGAAGGCGGCUCACUGGUCCGGUUCUGACGCUGAGGCGCGAAAAGCGUGGGGAGCAAACAGG
rnacentral:rRNA from 1 species